rnacentral:rRNA from 1 species
UACGUAGGUGGCGAGCGUUGUCCGGAUUUACUGGGCGUAAAGAGCGCGCAGGCGGUCGUGCAAGUCGCGUGUGAAAGCCCCCGGCUCAACUGGGGAGGGUCACGCGAUACUGCUCGACUCGAAGGCAGGAGAGGGAAGUGGAAUUCCCGGUGUAGUGGUGAAAUGCGUAGAUAUCGGGAGGAACACCAGUGGCGAAGGCGACUUCCUGGCCUGUUCUUGACGCUGAGGCGCGAAAGCUAGGGGAGCAAACGGG